GUGAUGGGUGGUUAGUUGAAGUUGGAGGAACUAUGUUUGGAAGACUCUGCAAACAAAUUUCUCUCUUGCAGUUAUGCUUUUCUAGUGGAUGUUUAAGAUCAAGUGAAGAUAGACCUGCACUAAUUACAAUUUGACUGUCUAUCAAGAAAGGAUAGAUAUGCAUGUCGAGAUUCACACAUGGGAAGAAUUUCUAAACUAUUUACGGAAACAGAUUAUAUAAUACACGAUGUAAUGAACGGAUGCUCUGAAGAAGAGACACUAAGAAACCCAGUGCUAAUUCUGUAGCAUUGUGAUAUGAAAUCUAGCAAUACUAUCAUUCACUGUUCAGAGUGAUAUUAGUCUAGUGUCUUAUGUUCAGUUUCAGCAAAUGUAAAGAUAAAGACAGCUACUUUGAAGAGACCGAGAAACAUUAUGGUAGACAUUAUUGACUUCCCCAAAAUCAGGUCUUGAAGACCUAAAAAGCCUUUAUCAUCCUGUAAUGAUCUGAUUAGUUCUAUAAUGUUCAGUAUAUAUUCAAUCUGUGUGAAGAUGGGGACAACUAUUUGGAAGAAAACUAGAGAAAAUAAGAUAAAACAGUGAAGAUCUCCAGUGGACUUGCUUGGAAAUCUAUGUUCCUUUAAAUUGUUUCCUUAUAAACUGUUUUGUUCUGUUUAAUCUUACCCUCUUUAAGAUAAAAAACAAGUGUGUAGGACUGAUAACCAUAUUACUAAGUUCUUGUUGGAUCAUUGAGAACUGUUUGCAGUGUUAUUAGUUGAAUAUCACUUUGUAUGCUUUAAUUUUGUAACUUGAGCAACUAUUUCUAAGAUGAUGGUAUGUAACUUAUCGACUGGUGAUUUCUUACUGUUUAUUUUUCUGAAAUUCUGUAUUGUUUCUACUCUUUUUAUGUUUUUUUUCCUUUAAAACAAAAAAGAAUAACGUCAGACUUCUCAACACAAACCAUCAAGUCAAAAAUAGCCUGGAGCAAAAUAUUCCAAGCCCUGAAAGAAAAUAACCUCCAUUCCAGAUUGAUAUACUCUGCUAAACUGUCUCUAGAAAUUAAUGGAGAAACAAGAUGCUUCCAAGACAAAGAGGAACUUGGGAAAUUUGCAACCACCAAUCCAACUCUAUAGAGAAUCCUGCAGGGCAUUCUAGAGAGACAGAGAAAAGUACAAGGAUUCCAGGAACAGUGGCAGAGAGGCCUCAAUGAAUGGAGCAGAAAACAGAAUGAAGAAGAUAAGCAGACAACUGAUGGCAAAAAAAGAGCAUAACAAAAAUGAGGCAGAGAAGAUUUUAUUCAAAAAUGAUAUGAUUGAUAGUAUCAAGUCAGAGUAUAGGCAACUACACUGAAGAUGACAAGACUCUACAAUACAUAUUCUGGUUUGAUAACUGCUGGUUUUUGAAGUUCUAUACUAUAUACAAAGUUGUGUUUUUAUUAAUACUAUUAUGUACUGACAUAUUCAAUUAUACUAUGUCUGAUGAUAUAGUCAAUUCUAUUGGAGAUAACAAGAGACACCACAGGAACUAUGGUAGAAUCAUUUGUACAAUAGCAUAUAAUGUUAAUGUUAAUUGAGGGUAUUAUGUUCUUGUAUAUAGCAUAUCUUUAUUCUUUUUUCUAUAUUUUUAUUUUAAAGGGAAUAAAACAACAGUAAAAUGUUUAUUUCGUUUCAUGUGUUUAUAGGAGUAUGUUUUGUUUUGCCUUGCUUUGUUUUGUUUCUCCCUCUAAUAUAGAAAGGAUAGAAAUACUUUUAAGACUCAUGCAUGUGUAGAAUCUAUAAACAGUUUAUGUGUCAUAACACAUGAUGAAAUGAACAGAUACUUUGAAGAAAAAAAGACGCUAAAAUACCCAAUGCUGACCCUGGAGUGUCAUAAUGUGAAACCCAGCAGUAGUAUUAUUCUUUGUUUAGAGUGAUAUUAGCCUGCUUGGGUUUAUUCAAUCUCAACAUAAUUGAAGAUAUGGAUAACUGCAUGUAUGUUUAAGUGUAUGGGAUUUAUAACCAUAUUUCUAAGUUUUUGUUGGAUAGUUGAACAGAACUGGUUGCAAUCUCACUGUUUGAAUCCCCACUUUAUAUGCUCUAUUUUAGUAUCUUGAAUAACUAUUUGUAAGAAGACAAUCUGAAAUCAACUAGUGAUUUCUUACUAUUUAUUUUUUUCUUUGAAAUUAUGCAUUAUUGCUACCCGUUUUCUGUUUUGUUUUAGUCUUUGUUUGUUUAGCCUUUCUUUAAAUUAAAUUUUAAAAAAAGACACUACAGUACCAGGGUUGAUCACGAAUGUCAUGACGUGAAAUCCAGCAAUACUAUUAUUCUUUGUUCAGAAUGAUAUUAAUCUGCUUUAGUUUGUUUAAUCUAAACAUAAAUGAAGAUAUGGAUAACUGCAUGUAUGUUUAAGUGUAUAGGAUUGACAACCAUGUUACUAAGUUUUUGUUGGACUGUUGAACAGAAUUGUUUGCGGUCUCACUGUUUGAAUUUCCACUUUACAUGUUCUUUUUGUAUCUUGAACAACUAUUUGUAAAAUGACAAUAUGUAAACAUCAACUAGUGAUUUCUUACUGUUUAUUUUUUUCUCUGAAAGUAUGUAUUAUUUCUACCUAUCUUCUGGUUUGUUUAGUCUUUCUUUAAAUAAAAUUUAAAAAAAUUAAACCAUCA